CCCCCAAAAAAAAAAAAAAAAAUCCUGCUGGCUGCCCCCCCCCCCCCCCCCCCCCCCCCCCCCCCCCCCCCCCCCCCCCCCCCCCCCCCCCCAAAAAAUCCUGCUGGCUGUCCUCUGUCCCUGCUGCCGGUCGGGUUUGGUUUUUGGGAGCGGCUGCUGCUGUCACCGGAGUUAAGGGACGGGCUGUGGCACUCUGGGCUCAGCUCGUGCCUCCCGAUGGAUUGGGCUCGGGAAUUGUCACCCGGGAGCGGCAGGGAUGUUGGCUGAGCGGGGGAGAUGGGGUUCCCUGCCAGGAAUCAGUUUUCCCGGCGUGGGUUCCGGCAGGAAUUCCCUGUGCCCAGAGGGCACAUCCUGAGCCGGGCAGUGGCCGCUGCUCCCUGGGGCUGUGGCCACCAGCGUGGCCAGCACCUCUGCUCGGCGGCACCGGGGAAAAUCCCGCUGGCUCCCGUUGUCCGGCGCAAUUUGGGCGCUGAAUUCGGGGAUCUUUGUGCUCGGAGGAGGACAAGGAUGGACGCAAGGUCCGGUGACCGAGGUCACUCCUUCCCCCCAACCCUGACCUCUGGUUCUCCGCAGGUUUUGCCGUCCCCGGAGGGAAUUUCAUCGACGCCAGGAGCCGCUGGAAUCUCCUUGGAGCUGUCCCUGCCCAGGGUCUGUCCCUGGAUGUUCCCUCUGCCCCUGAGCCUCGCUGGGGUUUGGAUGCUCCCUCCUCUCUGCAGCUGGGAACGGCACCUGCUCCUCCCAAACCUCCUGGAUUUGUGGAUUUACUGCUUCUGGCAUCGCGCUGCUGGCACUGGCUGUGCCACAGGGAAUUUCAGGUGUGGGAAAGCUGCACUUGCAGCCUGA
rnacentral:lncRNA from 12 species